CGGAUUGUAGUCUGCAACUCGACUACAUGAAGCUGGAAUCGCUAGUAAUCGCAGAUCAGAAUGCUGCGGUGAAUACGUUCCCGGGUCUUGUACACACCGCCCGUCACACCAUGGGAGUCGGAAAUGCCCGAAGCCGGUGACCAAACCAAUAAGGAAGGAGCCGUCGAAGGCAGGUCUGAUAACUGGGGUGAAGUCGUAACAAGGUAAC
rnacentral:rRNA from 1 species